CCUACGGGAGGCAGCAGUGAGGAAUAUUGGUCAAUGGGCUUACGCCUGAACCAGCCAAGUCGCGUGAGGGAAGACUUCCCUAUGGGUUGUAAACCUCUUUUGUCAGGGAGCAAUUGGCGCUACGUGUAGCGUUAUCGAGAGUACCUGAAGAAAAAGCAUCGGCUAACUCCGGUCCAGCAGCCGCGGUAAUACGGGGGAUUCGAGCGUUAUCCGGAUUUGUUGGGUUAAAAGGGUGCGUAGGCGGAAUGCCAAGUCAGCGGUAAAAUCGCGGGGCUCAACCUCGUUCCGCCGUUGAAACUGGCGUUCUUGAGUGGGCGAGAGGUAUGCGGAAUGCGUGGUGUAGCGGUGAAAUGCAUAGAUAUCACGCAGAACUCCGAUUGCGAAGGCAGCAUACCGGCGCCCAACUGACGCUGAAGCACGAAAGCGUGGGGAUCGAACAGGAUUAGAUACCCGAGUAGUC
rnacentral:rRNA from 1 species